rnacentral:rRNA from 1 species
UACUAGGUGUAAAGGGAGCGUAGAUCGGCCGUGUCAGUACUGAGUGAAAGACGGGACCACCCCCGGCCUGCUCUGUAAACAGUAUGCUGGAGUGCAGAGGAGGUAAGCGGAAUUCCUAGUGUAGUCGUGAAGUGCGUAGAUAUUAGGAGGAACACAGUGGCGAAGGCGGCUUACUGGACUGUAACUGACGUUGAGGCUCGAAAGCGUGGGGAGCAAACAGGAUUAGAUACCCUGGUAGUGCACGCCGUAAACGAUGAUUACUAGGUGUCGGAGGGUAUGGACCCUCCGGUGCCGCAGCAAACGCAGUAAGUAAUCCACCUGGGGAGUACGUUCGCAAGAAUGAAACUCAAAGGAAUAGACGGGGACCCGCACAAGCGGUGGAGCAUGUGGUUUAAUCUGAAGCAACGCGAAGAACCUUACCAAGUCUUGACAUCUGGAUGACAGGGACGUAACGGUCCCCUUACUUCGGUACAUCCAAGACAGGUGGUGCAUGGUUGUUGUCAGCUCGUGUCGUGAGAUGUUGGGUUAAGUCCCGCAACGAGCGCAACCCUUAUCCUUAGUAGCCAGCGGGCAGGGCCGGGCACUCUAGGGAGACUGCCGGGGAUAACCCGGAGGAAGGUGGGGAGGACGUCAAAUCAUCAUGCCCCUUAUGAUUUGGGGUACACACGUGCUACAAUGGCGUAAACAGAGGGAAGCGAACCCGCGAGGGGGAGCAAAUCCCAAAAAUAACGUCCCAGUUCGGAUUGUAGCCUGCAACCCGGCUACAUGAAGCUGGAAUCGCUAGUAAUCGCGGAUCAGAAUGCCGCGGUGAAUACGUUCCCGGGUCUUGUACACACCGCCCGUCA